CCCAACAGCCGAUCUAUUGGUUCUGCUCUAUAGAGUAUCUGUGGAGUAGCUAAGAGGGAAUGUGACAGGCCUGUCCGAAAGGACCGCCCCAGGCACAGCCGCCCCCGCGACCGUUACCGGAAAGAUCGCCCAAUGCCACUGACGCAUCGUCGGGAAGGUGGACGAUCACUGGGGAAACCCUGAAUCCGGGAGCCGGGAGACCUGCCAAUAAACGAGACAACGG
rnacentral:ncRNA from 2 species